rnacentral:rRNA from 1 species
GAGCGGACCGACGGGAGCUUGCUCCCUUAGGUCAGCGGCGGACGGGUGAGUAACACGUGGGUAACCUGCCUGUAAGACUGGGAUAACUCCGGGAAACCGGGGCUAAUACCGGAUGCUUGAUUGAACCGCAUGGUUCAAUUCUUAAAGGGGGCUUUUAACUUCCCCUUUCCGAUGGACCCCCGGCGCAUUAACUAAUUGGGGAGGUAACGGCUCCCCAAGGGGACCAAGCGUAACCCAACUGAAAAGGUGAACGGCCCCCCUGGGACUGAAAACCCGGCCCAAAUCCUACGGGAAGGAACAGUAGGGAAUCUUCCCCAAUGGACGAAAGUCUGACGGAACCACCCCCCGUGGGUGAUGAAGGUUUUCCGAACCUAAAACUCUGUUGGUAGGGAAAAACAAGUACCGUUCGAAUA